rnacentral:rRNA from 1 species
GGAGGAUCCAAGCGUUAUCCGGAUUUAUUGGGUUUAAAGGGUGCGUAGGCGGCCUGUUAAGUCAGAGGUGAAAGACGGUAGCUCAACUAUCGCAGUGCCUUUGAUACUGACGGGCUUGAAUGAACUAGAGGUAGGCGGAAUGAGACAAGUAGCGGUGAAAUGCAUAGAUAUGUCUCAGAACACCGAUUGCGAAGGCAGCUUACUAUGGUUUUAUUGACGCUGAGGCACGAAAGCGUGGGGAUCAAACAGGAUUAGAUACCCUGGUAGUCCACGCCCUAAACGAUGAAUACUCGCUGUUAGCGAUAUACAGUUAGCGGCUAAGCGAAAGCGUUAAGUAUUCCACCUGGGGAGUACGCUCGCAAGAGUG